ACGUAGGGUGCGAGCGUUAAUCGGAAUUACUGGGCGUAAAGCGUGCGCAGGCGGUUUUUUAAGUCAGAUGUGAAAUCCCCGGGCUCAACCUGGGAAAUGCAUUUGAGACUGUAUGACUAGAGUGUGGGAGAGGGGGGUGGAAUUCCACGUGUAGCGGUGAAAUGCGUAGAGAUGUGGAGGAACACCAGUGGCGAAGGCAACAGCCUGGACUAUAACUGACGCUGAGGCACGAAAGCGUGGGGAGCAAACAG
rnacentral:rRNA from 1 species